GGCAUGAAUGAUGGCAACCAAAGUGAAAAUUGUGAGAUGACACCCUGAGAGAACUGAGAGAUUGUUUGUAUAUUUUACAUCAUUGUAUCAUAAUUGUUAACACACCCACCCUUAGCUAGUUUGAUGUCCUGGUUGCCCUCCUUGGAAAUAAGUGAAGCGGUUGUGUGCGUAAGAUUGUAACUAGUGUAAUAUAAUUUAUAUUUUAAACCUAUAAUAAAACUUCAAAGAUGUGUCUAGUCCUAUGUGUGUAUUAUGCAAAUCCAUUGAAUACGGUAUCAUAUGAC
rnacentral:lncRNA from 1 species